CACUUCUGCAUGUUACAAACUUUGGAGCAACCUAGAAAUGCUAGUCUUGCAAUUAUUUCAACUUAUCCAGGAAAAGCAUGACUGUGAUUCCUUUACCCAGCAUAAGCUACUUGCAACUCCAAGGUUGAAACCAAAAGGGACCAGUACUGAUCAUUAGAAGGGUUACCAUUCGUUACAUAACCGACUACGAGCUGAGGCUUUUACAGCGUGCCUGGUGAGAACCCAAUGAGAAUCCUGUUUCCGCGGACUCUGGCACUUCCUCCCUCAGGCCAGAUUCAUCUGCUGUCCUUAGUGAUGGCACAGAAAAGCAGGUGAUCAGCAGCUUCCCUGGAAGAACACUUCUUCAAAGCACCCACUAAGAGCCCACAUACAGCCUCAUUCUAGCCCCAACUCCCACUAGGACCUGCAGAGAUGAGAAAUAUCACUGAAGGAGUAGACAGUUCUGUAUAGAAGAUGACAGAGGCAGUAAAACAGAUUGAAAGCCACCAAACAAGAAUGUCUCCCAUGUUGUUGACCUGUAUUGAAAAGCAAAACCAUAGAAUUAUAUAGGAGAAUUGAAUUUUUUAAACUCCUGGAAAGGAUCCAACACAAUCAUGAGUACAUAGUACAUAAGAGAUAGGAGAGAAAAUGUGGUGAAAUAUGAGGGUAUUGUAGCCCUGGGGGAACAAGAAAGAGCAAAGUGGAGAGAUACAGUAUUCAAUAUUGUUAGGUCGGGGGACAGUACACUUCACAUUUGUCUCAAGUCAGUUUGUGGCUUUUCAAAGAAUCAGCCAUAAUCUCCGAGGCUGACUUCUGAGCCUCUGUCCACACUGUGGGAGGCAGUGUGGAUGCUGCUUGACCUGUGGUAAUUCACAUAGGCAUCCGUAUACACUAAGAAGAAAAGAAUGUGCUCAUCAGUGACUAUAGAUGACUUACCAAGAGAGCAAAGUCCUUUGGAGGAUGACAUAAUUAUGCAACAAAAUGGAGUGGCAUGCCCAGGAGACAAUAGGAUGCGCAUGUUGCUUGAUGACCAGUAGCCUCUUCCCAGGAGCUAAACCAUGGGAGCACCAUCAAACCCAAGAAAUAAAAUCUUUAAGUAUAUUUCAAAAGUUUCCAACAAUCAAAGCCAAUAACUGUCACUCCAUGUAAAACAGAGACACAGACAUUGGCUCUCGCCUGCCUGCUCCAUUCCUCCCUUCCUUCCAUCUGUCAAUAAUCAAUCAGGUCACUGAUAAUAAGGUGCUUUGCUAAUACCUCGGGACAGAAGCAUAAGACAUGAUCCCUAUUCUCCAGAGGAUCAUACUGAAGGGAGAACAACACAGAAACAAGAAAUGAUUUUCCAAGAUACCAAAUGCUUUAACAGAUGCAUGUACAGGCACAGGGACAAAGAGGUGCAAAAGCACUCUGUUUGUGUUGAUCAUGACACGCUGCCACUGAAAUGGCAAAUGGGAACAUGCUGUCAUGCAACAAACACUGACUGCACCCCCAUGACAGGGGUGUCAAGGUCAUGGAAGUCAAGAAAAAACUGAGAAAUUGCUGUAGACUGAAAGAGACGAAAGAAAAAACUAACUGCAGUGUAUGAUGCUGAGCUGGCUCCGGCUACUGAGGCACCUGAUUGAGACAACUGGUGAAGCUGGGAUGGACUCUGAGAAUUAGGAUAGUGAUGUACCUGCCCAUGUUGACCUCCUAAGUAUAAGAUGACUGAAAAGGUCUUUUUUUUAUGUUAAAAAAUAUACCCUAAAGUAUUCAGAAGUAUAGGACAUUAGGUUGACAACUGACUCUCAAAUGUUCAUUUUAAAACAUUUAUUUUUUUGUAUUGUAAUUGCAACUUUUCUAGAAGUUUGAAAACUUUUUUAAAAAAAAAAAUUUGAAUCUUUGAGGGGUGGGUCUGAGCAUCAGUAUUUGAAAAACUGCCUGAGUGAUUCUAAUGUGCAACCAAGGUUAGGUACUACUGGUAGAGAGUCGAUAUUUUCAUCAUUAGAAAAUGUUACAUAUUUUUCACUGAGUGCAGGAACCAUAAUUUAUUUAAUCAAACUCUUUCCUCUUUUCCUCCCCAAAUCACUUUUUGAAAAGCAAGAAAGAAUCUCCUUACAUGUCAGGAAAGAAAGAAUCUCUCCCCUAUGAGUACUUAGUCCCAUGUGGAAAUACAUGAACAAAGAGACACUGCACAGUAAUAACUUAAUUACGAUCAUUUGUUGGGCAGUUAUUAUUUGUUAGGUACUAUGCUAUCUGAUAAGGCAGGCACUGUCCUUAUUUACCUUCAUAGGCACAGCAAGAUAAGCUACUUGCCCAAGAGGACAGAGCUAUUUUGACUCCUGGCAAUACUGUUACCGUAGAGAGAAGCAAAGUGCUUUGAAAACACACAAACGGGCCUUCCAAGUGUCAUGGAAGGUUUCUCAGAGGAGGGGAUACAGGAGCUAUCUUUAGACAUGUACAUUCUUUCCAACUUUAAUUACUACAAAUAUUCAUCCAUGAACAUCUGUGCAGAUAGCUUUCCAUUUUGAAGUCAGAAUGCCAUAAUCUUCCUUUGGUUAGAUUGUAAGAAGUAGAAUUGUGGGAAAUGCCCCCAAGAUUUUAAUACCUGUUGCCCCUAAGCUGUCCCAGUAAUAUGAGUAGAUCUAUUUUACUGCAGCCUUUCAAGCAGUGGGCAGUAUUACUUUAAAAAUUCUUUGCUAUGAAUCAUGAUUUCUCCAAUUACUAGUUAGGUGGACAUUUUCUCCAUUGAUGCUUUCACACCUAAAUUUAAGAGCUUUGGCAUUACUGCCACAGAGUGCCAGAGCACAUAGCCAGUGAGAGAACAUUCCAGGAUGUCUCAUGUUAUAAACAUGGUGCUGCCCUAUAAUUACAAAAAUGACUUUUGUCACCACCAGCAGCAUCAAAAGAAAUCAGAUUUCUAUAUUCGUGCUAAGACCUUUGACCUUCCAACUUACUGUGAACUCUAUGAGAACAGAGAAAUUGUCCCGUUUGAUUUAAAAUGCUGUCACAAUGCCGGCAAGUGAAACAAGUGCUAAAACUCUACUGUACAAAUACAUAUGGGAAAUAAUGGAUGAUGGAAAAAUAUAAACUGAAAUCACACUUUCAGCUCUAUACAUGUGACACAAACACAGCUCAGUAAACAUCACAUUAGGGCAAGAUGAAGUAAGACUCCUUUGUCUUUUCUUGCUGUUUGAACAGGGUGGCAAUUCACUCUGCCUGUGACAUUCAGUUUUAUGCCUCCUGUCCCACAGGAGCUGCCUUUCAAAAGGAUCUUGGGUUGGGUGAUAAAUAUUAAGGUCACUCUACCCAAAACGAUGCUCCUUUAAUGACCAGCAGUGCUAAAGAACCAAGUGCUUCCUGGAAAAGGGAGCUGGUCUUAGCGUCACCCUGAACUACUCUUUAGAGCCCUAUAGGCAGAUAACUCUUGGACUUUUGGCCUUUAAGUGCUUUCAUAUUACUUUAUUAUUUAAAGACAAAUAAAGCCAGCAAAUCAUUAUUUCCUAACUAAUAGCACAUCCCUGGCCCUGUCAGCAUUCUCUAUUCCAUUUUAUCGAUAACAGGAUGAGUCAUCCAAGUUGCAUCAAGUAUGCACCAACCACUCUGGAAAGCAGUAAGAAGAUUCCUCAGAAAACUUGGAAUGGAACCACCAUUUGACCCAGUUUUCCCACUCCUAGGUUUACUCCCAAAGGACUUAAAAUCAGCAUACUACAGUGACACAGCCACGUCAAUGUUUAUAGUACUUCAAUUCACAAUAGCAAAGCUAUGAAACUAACCUAGGUAUCCUUCAAAUAGAUGAAUUGAAAAAGAAAAUGUGGUAUACAUAUACACAAAGGAAUAUUACCAAGUCAUAAAGAAGAAAGAAAUUAAGGCAUUUGCCAGUAUAUAGAUGGAACUGGAUGGAGUCUGUCAUACUAAGUGAAAUAAGCCAGUCCUCCCAAACCAAAGAAUGAAUGCUCUCUCUGACAUAUUGAUGCUAACACACAAUUGGGUGGGGGCGGAAGAAGUUCAUCUGAUUAAACAAAGGGGAAUGAAGGAAAGGGAAGGGGUAUGGGAAUAGGAAAAACAAUAGAAUGAAUUGGACAUAACUUUCCUAUGCUCGUAUAUGAAUACAUGAUCAAUGAAACUCCACAUCAUGCAAAACCAAUAAAUUGGGAUCCUAAUUAGAAUAAGUUAUACUCCAUGGAUGUAUUAAUAUGUCAAAAUGCAGUCUACUGUCAUGUAUAUCUAAAAAGAACAAAUUUUUAGAAAAAUACGCAAGUAGGCUGCUAGAGCACCAACUUCCAGUUUUUGAUUAAUUCUUCAGACUGCACAGUUGAUAAUUUGCAAUGAAAUCUUCAAUGCAGCGAUAUUAGAUAUUAGUCAUUUAGUAAAUGUCUUUAUAAUCUGAAGGCAGCAAUAAUCUAUUUUAAAUUGUAUGAACAAAACCACAGGCAUACUUGGGAUAACAUUUGCAAGGCGUAUAAAUUUCAUGGUUAAUAAUAUUUGGUUUCACUGAGUAAUAGUCUCUAUUCCAAUCUAAUGUAUAGGCCCUAAACUAACAAAAGGAAAAGAGAAUAUUUAUAAAACAGGUGAAUUUAAAAUAAACAUGUAAUCCUUUAGGUAAUUAAAAACAAAACUUGUUAUAUUUUUCUAUUUCACAAGUAUGUCAAAAUUUCAUAUUGAGGUUCACAGUUUAGAUAAGACUUCAGUAGAUGACAUCUUGGAUUAUAGCAGAAUAUCUUGAUGAAGCUAAUACAACAGAAACAAAACUGGUGGGAAUAAAUUUAAUAGAAUAAGUCUGUGUCUUGCAUGAAAAAAAGUACGUUUUGCAUAAAAAGAUACACAUAUGCAUGGAGGUGGAUAGACUCAUGGAGAUGUCUUUUAAUUUCAUUUAGUUUCUUUUGAUACUUAAAUUUUUUUCAACUAAUAAAUUAAAAAUUAACUUUUUAAACUUUUUUUUUAAAGUUUCUUUCUUUGUUUUGGUCUAGAAACAACUUUCUUAACCCCAAAUCAGAUUAAUUUUUACAUUUCUUUUUUUUAGAAUUUUUAUCACCAUUUCUUAAUUUAUUCCACUAGAUGAGAAACCAAAAUAUGGGUCUGUUGCUUAUUAACUGUUUCAUUUGGGUCUGUUUCUUAAUCUUUGUGAGUCUAACUUGCGUGUUCCUGAAAAACUAGAUCUAACUUUACCAGUCUAUUAGAGCUGCCAUGACAAUUAGUAGCAAUAACUCAUAAAAAGCACUUUUCAUGGUAGGGCCUGGCACAUAGAAAGUUACUAAGUGGCAGCUAUUACUUUUAAUGCUAUCACAUUGCAUACCGCAGUUCUUAAUUCCACUGGAAUAUUUUCAUGGCUUAGAAUAAAGAUACUAUUGCCUGCUUUAAAAUUAUAUUUUAUAAGAUUCAAUUAUGUUAUAGUUUCUUAUUAAAUUAUUUUAAACCAUAAUAUAUGGCAAUCAGGAAAAAAAACACAACACUUAAUUCUUUGAAGCUGGCCCAGUUAUAUGCACCACACUAGUUUGGACUUCUUUUUUAAGGAGAUGACGUCUCAUUAUGUUGCCCAGACUGGACUGGAGCUGCAGCUCCUGUGCUCAAGCAAUCCCCUCGCCUCAGCUGCACACCACUGUGCCCAGCCAUGGUUUUGUCUUCUACAGUCUGAAGUUAUCAGAUGUCCAAGUAACAGUGCGGUGGAAGAAUAUGAAAUGGUUUCUUACAUGCCAACUGCUGAGAGUAUUUCUGAGUGUGUGAUAUGAUUAAACAUAAGGUCUACCUUUCUUUCCCUUACCUCUAACAGGCCAUCCUCUGGCAGAUCAGUACAGUGAACAGCAUUUUGGAUCUUAGUCUUACCGAAGAUUGCUCUAAGGGUUCCAGGGCGUAAAUGCCGGGCAAUUUCCUAGUAAAUACAUACAGAUUAAAGUUAGUUAUAUAGUGUUAACAAGAAAAACACUAAGUUAUACAAAACACAUGAAUGACUUUAUUUAUGAAAUAUAUGUUAUACAUUGAAGAUGCUGAUUUUUCCUGGAAACCACAUGGAUAUAUGAAAAUUUUAGGCAGUGAAACUUCUCAGUUUACUUAUAAGGCUAAUUCUGUGGCUCAGGGUAGAGUCCACUAUAACUUAUGUCAGGGGGCAAACAAUAAUUAUAUUUCUUUUUAUCAACAGACUAUUGGAAUCACACAAAAUACAAAUCCAGUUCAUUACUAUAAGAAUUGUAUUUUUAAAGACUUGUAUUUUAUAAAGAUCCUAACAAUAUGGAUAAGCUUAAUGCAAGAGCCUUUCAAACUCCACAAAAUUUCUGCCAUAUUCAUCCCCUCUACAACCUUGCCUGCUCAGCUCCAUCAAGUGCUUGGUUCUUUUAAUGCACAUAAGGACUAGAAAGUCAUCUCAGGUAUUCUUGCAGUGGGAAGAAUAAUUCUGGCUUCAAGAAUGACCUCUAAGAUCAAAUUAAUAACUAAUUAAUUAAUUAAAAUCAAAAGCACCAAAUAGAAUGGUGAUUAGCAAAAUUGAAAACCAAGAGAAGGUUUAAUUAUCUACAGCUGUGUGUAUUUGCGUGUCAGUGUUUACUGAAUAAUAGGUUUAUCUGACUGAUAAAUUGCUUCCAUAAUAAGCUAUUCUGUUUCAGUUCUUCACAAUAUAGGAGAGAGAUGCAAGAAUGAAAAUGACCUUUUAUUUAAGAAGCAAAUUAAAUUAAAAAGAGCUCUGUGAAAUUGACUAAUACUAGAACUAUGAAGAAAGACACUUCUGUGAUCAAGUGUAGAGUACCUUCACAUAACGAUUGGUACAUGGUGUGUAAAUCAGUACAUCACUAGACUAAUUCCAGGGAGCUUUAAGUACAAGGGAAAGAUAUAUACUACAGGACAAUCACAGUAGUAGUGAUAGAAAUAAGUAGAUAAAUAUGAAGAAGGGCAAUCACAGCUUCAGUCCUGGCCACAUUAAAAUAGCUGAGACAAGACUCUAAAGCCUGUUUUAAUCAAGCCUUCAUUUCACAGACAACAGGGUAAUAAAACAAUAUCAAAGGCCAAUGUGCAGUCGCCACAAUUAAAACACCAAGUGUAUGUGUUUCCAGCCAUUACUGGGACUCUCCGAUGACACAAAUGUGCAACCCCAUACUUACUCAUGCAGUUAUAGUUCUGUAUUCCUGGGAGAUAAGCAAUAGCAGACUAAGUGACAACUAAAAAUAAUAAUGAAACACAGGGAAGGAAUCAGAGAAGGAAAGAAAAUGAGGGAAGAUUUUCUGCUAAGUCUGAGGGACCUAUGCCUCGGAUUUAGAAAGAGUAACUGCAAAAUUAAACUCAAUUAUUUAUUUACUAGUUUCAAGAAUGAACCAGCUGAGAGUUCACAGUAAACUUCCUUUUUGGAGGGGGUUUGGGUACUGAGGAUUGAACUCAGGGGCACUCCACCACUGAGCUACAUCCCCAUAUCCCCAACCCUAUUUUGUAUUUUAUUUAGAGACAGGGUCUCACUAAGUUGCGUAGUGCCUCACUUUAGCUGAGGCUGGCUUUGAACUUGUGAUCCUCCUGCCUUAGACUCCCGAGAUGCUGGAAUGAGGCAUGUGCUCCCGUACCCAGCCUAAAUAUAUUUGCAUUAGAUACUGCAUGAAUUGACUGUAUUUGACUAUAUUUGAGGAAUAACAUCUGGUUUAUGAACUCUCAGGCUUCACAUGUAACUUUCUGUUAAGUAGAAAUUAGCUAACAGUCACUAGUAUGGCAAUAUGUAAAAACGUGGAUGUGUAACUGAUGUGAUUCUGCAAUCUGUACACGGGGUAAAAAUGGGAGUUCAUAACCCACUUGAAUCAAAUGUAUGAAAUAUGAUAUGUCAAGAGCUUUGUAAUGUUUUGAACAACCAAUAAUAAUAAUAAUAAUAAAAAGAAAUUAGCCGUAAUGUAAAUCAUGUUAUUACACAAUUUAAAAUCUCAUAUGGCUCACAUUUUAUUUGUAUUGAACAGCACUGCCAUCAGUAAUGUGGAAUAUUAGAUGGUUUUAGAAAUGUUAAUCUUAGUCUAGAAUCUUGACUCCUCACUGCAAUUUUAUACGGAAUCAGAGAGAACCUGGGACAGUUUAGGAAGUUAAUCUUUUGAAGUGAUAUUGGUGUUUGGUUGGAUCUUUGGAUAUUCUCUUCCAUUAGUACUAGAUAUACUGUUAGUAUAACCAGGUUAAUCAUCUGUAAAAGACAAACAUUGUCAGCUGUGU